rnacentral:lncRNA from 1 species
CUUUCCCCUUUCUCUCCCCUUUUCUUGGAUCCAAAGCCAGAACGAAGCAUCUAAUGGAGAGGUGCUGCUUUUUGUGGGACGAUGGAGAGGAGUCGGUGGCCACGUGACUGUCUUUUUUUUACUGUUCGGUCCUUCUCUUAUUCUCUCUUUUCUUCUUCUUUCUUAAAUCUGAGUACUUUUGGUGCAAAUUCGAUGCCAACAAGGUCCUUGCAAAGCUAAUGUACUUGUUUGAUUCCUCACGCAAACCCCAGGAAUUGAAG